GUGACGAGAAGACCAGACGUAUCCCUUCGUGACAAGCUGCUACUUGUUCUUUUCAGCUCGAGCCUUUUUUGGGAGCUACUCUGGUACAUCGUCCACACUGCUGCCAAGUCUCGACUUCCCAAAAUGGAUGGAAGUGACGAAUAUGGAGGACGCUAUCCUAGAACCCGUGGACAGAAGAGGAAGAGCGACGACUUGGGUGCGGCAGCGAAGUCUGCCUGCCCAACGCCAAUUGCUCCUCACCCAAAAACGCACCCCAUUGACGAAGAUCAUCCUUGUAUAGACGAUGAUAAAUACUCUCAUCUGACAAGAACACGUCAUCAGAAGUCACUGCCUGCUGCGAAUAACAGCGCAUCGUGUAUGAGAAUCUCUUCACCAACAAGUAGACACAAAUAUACACCCACACACCUACACACACCCUCGUGUACUUGUACACCACACACGCGCGCGCACGUGCGCAUACAUACAACUAUUCGUCUUUAUCCUUUUGUGUUUGACAUGAUUCCACGGUGCCAUGAAAGUAACAUUGGUGCCAUAAAAGUAACAUCUUUACUUAUA